AAAGAGGGGGGACCUUCGGGCCUCUUGCCAUCAGAUGUGCCCAGAUGGGAUUAGCUAGGUUAGGUGGGGUAACGGCUCACCUAGGCCGGACGAUCCCUAGCUGGUCUGAGAGGAUGACCAGCCACACUGGAACUGAAGGACACGGUCCAGACUCCUACGGGAGGGCCAGCAGUGGGGAAUAUUGCACAAUGGGCGCAAGCCUGAUGCAGCCAUGGCCCGCGUGUAUGAAGAAGGCCUUCGGGUUUGUAAAGUACUUUCAGCGGGGAGGAAGGCGAUGCGGUUAAUAACCGCCGGUCGAUUGACGUUACCCGCAGAAGAAAGGCACCGGCUAACUCCGUGCCAGCAGCCGCGGUAAUACGGAGGGUGCAAAGGCGUUAAUCGGAAUUACUGGGCGUAAAAAGCGCACGCAGGCGGUCUGUCAAGUCGGAUGUGAAAUCCCCGGGCUCAAAACCUGGGAACUGCAUCCGAAACUGGCCAAGGCUUGAGUCUAGUAGAGGGGGGUAGAAUUCCAGGUGUAGCGGUGAA
rnacentral:rRNA from 1 species